rnacentral:rRNA from 1 species
AUGAGGCGAGGUUCCACAACUAGGAACUCACUUUUGUUGCCACUGUGGGCGCCAUCUCACCGGACUUCAAACCAUAGUGACAUAGAACAUCUUAGCGGGCUUCAAACCAUAAACAAUCGGCCAAAGACGACACCACUUGUAGCACCCUCUCUGCACUACAACCUCAAAAGAAGCUCUAUUUUCAACCUUCAACAGUUCUGCCAGUACAACGUGAAGGACCACUCAGUGAAGACAACUCCAAAGGGGUGCGGAAUAUUGAUGCUCAGCCCCCUCAUCACUAAGAAAUCCUUCAAGCUCGUCCUUGGAGUUGAGAAAGUACACUCAUGUAUAUCUUAA